rnacentral:rRNA from 1 species
GAGGAGCUUGCUUCUUGGGUGGCGAGUGGCGAACGGGUGAGUAACGCAUCGGAACGUACCGAGUAAUGGGGGAUAACUGUCCGAAAGGACAGCUAAUACCGCAUACGCCCUGAGGGGGAAAGCGGGGGAUCUUAGGACCUCGCGUUAUUCGAGCGGCCGAUGUCUGAUUAGCUGGUUGGCGGGGUAAAGGCCCACCAAGGCGACGAUCAGUAGCGGGUCUGAGAGGAUGAUCCGCCACACUGGGACUGAGACACGGCCCAGACUCCUACGGGAGGCAGCAGUGGGGAAUUUUGGACAAUGGGCGCAAGCCUGAUCCAGCCAUGCCGCGUGUCUGAAGAAGGCCUUCGGGUUGUAAAGGACUUUUGUCAGGGAAGAAAAGGGGCAUGUUAAUACCGUGCUCUGAUGACUGUAUCCUGAAGAAUAAGC